rnacentral:hammerhead_ribozyme from 1 species
AUUCAGUUGACGAGUCCCAAAUAGGACGUAACUUGCGUCAAACUGGAU